GAUGAACGCUAGCGGCAGGCUUAAUACAUGCAAGUCGAGGGGCAGCGCAGUGUAGCAAUACAUGGGCGGCGACCGGCAAACGGGUGCGGAACACGUACAGAACCUUCCUUCGAGCGGGGAAUAGCCCAGAGAAAUUUGGAUUAAUACCCCAUAGUAUAUUGAGUAGGCAUCUAUUUAAUAUUAAAGAUUUAUCACUUGAAGAUGGCUGUGCGGCUGAUUAGGAGUUGGCGGGGUAACGGCCCACCAAGCCUGCGAUCAGUAACUGGUGUGAGAGCACGACCAGUCACACGGGCACUGAGACACGGGCCCGACUCCUACGGGAGGCAGCAGUAAGGAAUAUUGGUCAAUGGACGCAAGUCUGAACCAGCCAUGCCGCGUGGAGGA
rnacentral:rRNA from 1 species